CCUACGGGCGGCAGCAGUGGGGAAUAUUGGACAAUGGACCAAGAGUCUGAUCCAGCAAUUCUGUGUGCACGAUGAAGUUUUUCGGAAUGUAAAGUGCUUUCAGUUGGGAAGAAAAAAAUGACGGUACCAACAGAAGAAGUGACGGCUAAAUACGUGCCAGCAGCCGCGGUAAUACGUAUGUCACAAGCGUUAUCCGGAUUUAUUGGGCGUAAAGCGCGUCUAGGUGGUUAUAUAAGUCUGAUGUGAAAAUGCAGGGCUCAACUCUGUAUUGCGUUGGAAACUGUGUAACUAGAGUACUGGAGAGGUAAGCGGAACUACAAGUGUAGAGGUGAAAUUCGUAGAUAUUUGUAGGAAUGCCGAUGGGGAAGCCAGCUUACUGGACAGAUACUGACGCUGAAGCGCGAAAGCGUGGGUAGCAAACAGGAUUAGAUACCCGUGUAGUC
rnacentral:rRNA from 1 species